AUGGUCGCCGCCGUGGUGAACUACCCGCUCGUCGCGGGGCUCCUCGCCUUCGCGGUCGCGCAGUCCGCCAAGUUCUUCACCACCUGGUAUAAAGAGAAGCGUUGGGAUGCCAGGCAAUUUAUAGCUUCUGGAGGGAUGCCAUCAUCACAUUCAGCCACAGUGACAGCACUUGCAGUGUCUGUUGGUAUCCAAGAAGGCUUUCGUAGUGCUACAUUUGCAACUUCAGUGAUACUUGCAUGUGUGGUGAUGCAUGAUGCUUUUGGUGUUCGGUUGCAUGCUGGAAAACAGGCAGAGGUGUUGAACCAAAUUGUCUACGAGCUGCCUAUAGAGCAUCCACUGGCAGAGACAAAGCCAUUGCGUGAAAUUCUUGGACACACAGUCCCUCAGGUGGUGGCUGGUUGCAUCCUUGGAAUCCUCACGGCUGUGAUCAUGCUCUUAGCUCUGGGGAGUUACACUUAG
rnacentral:rRNA from 1 species